rfam:Pseudomonas entomophila str. L48 chromosome,complete sequence.
CCUCUUCCACCUGCUGUGGGCAGAUGAAGUGGAUAUGCGAGUCGAUGCCACCGGCGGUGACGAUCUUGCCUUCGGCGGCGAUCACCUCGGUGCCCGGCCCGACCGGCACACUGACGCCGGGUUGCACGUCAGGGUUGCCGGCCUUGCCGAUCGCAGCGAUACGCCCGUGCUUGACGCCAAUGUCAGCCUUGACGAUGCCCCAGUGGUCGAUGAUCAGCGCGUUGGUCAGCACCAGGUCCAUGGCCUCGGCCGCCAGCAUCUGGCCUUGGCCCAUGCCGUCGCGG